AGGGCUGGCCGGGCGACCGCGUUCGCUCCCUCGGGAGCGGCCGAGGAAGGUCCGGGCUCCACAGGGCAGGGUGGUCGCUAGCGGCGACCCGGGGUGACCCGCGGGACAGUGCCACAGAGAACAGACCGCCUGGCAACAGGUAAGGGUGAAACGGUGGUGCAAGAGACCACCAGUACGCCGGGUGACCGGCGUAGCUAGGUAAACCCCACCCGGAGCAAGUUCAAACAGUGUGUGCGACCGGUUCGCCGGUCAGAAGGCGGCCCGCCGGAGCACACGGGUAGAGCGCUCGAGCCUGUCGGCAACGGCAGGCCUAGAUGGAUGGUCGCCAGCCGGUCGGUCGUGAGGCCGGCCGGGGAACAGAACCCGGCCUAUGAGCCAGCCCUUCCG
rnacentral:RNase_P_RNA from 1 species